rnacentral:rRNA from 1 species
GCAUAAGCGCACAGCUUCGCAUGAAGCAGUGUGAAAAACUCUGGUGGUAUACGAUGGAUCCGCGUCUGAUUAGCUAGUUGGCGGGGUAAAGGCCCACCAAGGCGACGAUCAGUAGCCGGCCUGAGAGGGUGAACGGCCACAUUGGGACUGAGACACGGCCCAAACUCCUACGGGAGGCAGCAGUGGGGAAUAUUGCACAAUGGGGGAAACCCUGAUGCAGCGACGCCGCGUGAGUGAAGAAGUAUUUCGGUAUGUAAAGCUCUAUCAGCAGGGAAGAAAGAAAUGACGGUACCUGACUAAGAAGCCCCGGCUAACUACGUGCCAGCAGCCGCGGUAAUACGUAGGGGGCAAGCGUUAUCCGGAUUUACUGGGUGUAAAGGGAGCGUAGACGGCGAUGCAAGUCUGAAGUGAAAGGCGGGGGCCCAACCCCCGGACUGCUUUGGAAACUGUAUGGCUGGAGUGCAGGAGAGGUAAGUGGAAUUCCUAGUGUAGCGGUGAAAUGCGUAGAUAUUAGGAGGAACACCAGUGGCGAAGGCGGCUUACUGGACUGUAACUGACGUUGAGGCUCGAAAGCGUGGGAGCAAACAGGAUUAGAUACCCUGGUAGUCCACGCCGUAAACGAUGAUCACCAGGUGU